rnacentral:rRNA from 1 species
GAUGAACGCUGGCGGCGUGCUUAACACAUGCAAGUCGAACGGGAUCCAUCAAGCUUGCUUGGUGGUGAGAGUGGCGAACGGGUGAGUAAUGCGUGACCGACCUGCCCCAUACACCGGAAUAGCUCCUGGAAACGGGUGGUAAUGCCGGAUGUUCCCGUUGAUCGCAAGAGGGGAAAGUUUACGCUCUAGGAUGGGCCCGCGUCCGAUUAGGUAGUUGGUGAGGUAACGGCUCACCAAGCCUACGAUCGGUAGCCGGUCUGAGAGGACGAUCGGCCACACUGGGACUGAGACACGGCCCAGACUCCUACGGGAGGCAGCAGUGGGGAAUCUUGGACAAUGGGCGCAAGCCUGAUCCAGCGACGCCGCGUGGGUGAUGAAGGCCUUCGGGUUGUAAAGCCCUUUUCCUGGGGACGAUGAUGACGGUACCCGGGGAAUAAGCACCGGCUAACUCCGUGCCAGCCGCCGCAGUAA